rnacentral:rRNA from 1 species
GACGAACGCUGGCGGUGUGCUUAACACAUGCAAGUCGAACGGUAAGGCCCUUUCGGGGGUCCACGAGUGGCGAACGGGUGAGUAACACGUGAGUAACCUGCCCUCAUCUCUGGGAUAACAGUCGGAAACGGUUGCUAAUACUGGAUAUGAGCUUGCAAGGCAUCUUGUGGGUGGGAAAGAUUUUUUUGGUUGGGGGUGGACUCGCGGCCUAUCCGCUUGUUGGGGAGGUAGUGGCUCACCAAGGCUUCGACGGGUAGCCGGCCUGAGAGGGCGACCGGCCACAUUGGGACUGAGAUACGGCCCAAACUCCUACGGGAGGCAGCAGUGGGGAAUAUUGCACAAUGGACGGAAGUCUGAUGCAGCAACGCCGCGUGCGGGAUGACGGCCUUCGGGUUGUAAACCGCUUUCAAUUGUGACGAAGCUUUUUGUGACGGUAGCAGUAGAAGAAGCACCGGCUAACUACGUG